rnacentral:rRNA from 1 species
ACGGAAGGCAGCAGUGGGGAAUAUUGGGCAAUGGACGAAAGUCUGACCCAGCGACGCCGCGUGAGGGAAGAAGGUCUUCGGAUUGUAAACUUCUUUUAAGUGGGACGACAAUGACGGUACCACUUGAAUAAGCUCCGGCUAACUACGUGCCAGCAGCCGCGGUAAUACGUAGGGAGCAAGCGUUAUCCGGAUUUACUGGGUGUAAAGGGCGUGUAGGCGGGACAUCAAGUCAGAUGUGAAAGCACGAGGCUCAACUUCGUGUCUGCAUUUGAAACUGACGUUCUUGAGUGUUGGAGAGGCUAACGGAACUCCUAGUGUAGCGGUGAAAUGCGUAGAUAUUAGGAAGAACACCAGUGGCGAAGGCGGUUAGCUGGACAAUAACUGACGCUGAGGCGCGAAAGCGUGGAUAGCAAACAGGAUUAGAUACCCUGGUA